rnacentral:rRNA from 1 species
GAUGAACGCUGGCGGCGUGCCUAAUACAUGCAAGUCGAGCGAACAGACGAGGAGCUUGCUCCUCUGACGUUAGCGGCGGACGGGUGAGUAACACGUGGAUAACCUACCUAUAAGACUGGGAUAACUUCGGGAAACCGGAGCUAAUACCGGAUAAUAUAUUGAACCGCAUGGUUCAAUAGUGAAAGACGGUUUUGCUGUCACUUAUAGAUGUAUCCGCGCCGCAUUAGCUAGUUGGUAAGGUAACGGCUUACCAAGGCAACGAUGCGUAGCCGACCUGAGAGGGUGAUCGGCCACACUGGAAAUGAGACACGGUCCAGACUCCUACGGGAGGCAGCAGUAGGGAAUCGUCCGCAAUGGGCGAAAGCCUGACGGAGCAACGCCACGUGAGUGAUGAAGGUCUUCGGAUCGUAAAACUCUGUUAUUAGGGAAGAACAAAUGUGUAAGUAACUAUGCACGUCGUGACGGUACCUAAUCAGAAAGCCACGGCUAACUACGUG